UAUAACCAAUUAUAAAUGUGAACUGUUAUUUACGCCUUUGGAAACAAUCAAAGCUAUCAGUAGAUUGUGCUCGAUAUUUGGAUUUUGUUCAUUAUUAUAGGUUUUGAACUGCCGAGUAUCAUUUAUGAGUGCUUUCCAUUGUUUGGUACAUUCCAAAGUGUAUUAACCUAUUAACUUAUUAACCAAUUGAACCGUAACAUAGUUAAAUUCUUAUUGUCUUGAACUGAAUUGUUUCUUACUCUUUCAUUAACUUGUUUGAGAAGAAAUUCGAUUUUACGAAACAAUAAAAUAUAACUCUUAGCAACGGAUAUCUUGGUUCUCGUAACGAUGAAGAACGCAGCGAAAUGCGAUACGUAAUGCGAAUUGCAGAAUUCAGUGAAUCAUCAAAUCUUUGAACGCAAAUUGCGCUUCUUGGAUAGGCCAGGAAGCAUGCCUCUUUGAGCAUCGUUUUCACCUCAGCUCGACUGCUUUCUUGUAAUGAGAAAUGUUCAUGUCGGAUAAUGAUGUUGUCUCACUUCGAAAGGAGUGGGUCACUUUAAAUGCGGUGAGCUCUUUGUUUCAAUUUACUCGAUUAGCGCCUGUUUUCUUUCGGGAGAAUGGGGCCUGUUCAUUCGAACUAAUCGCUUUUGAGUAACGUGGAUAAUCUCUAUUUACGUUAUUUCUAUGGCUUGAUUGGAUUGACGAAUAUGGUACUGCUUUUGGAUGUAAGAAACAAUAUCUAUAGCUCUACAGAAAACGGAAAUUAAUUCGUUCUUAUUUAACCGUAAGAACUUUUUUUUUGAAUUAGAUCUCAAAUGAAGCAAGACUACCCGCUGAACUUAAGCAUAUUAUUAAGCGGAGGAAAAGAAACUAACAAGGAUGCCCUCAGUAACGGCGAGUGAAGCGGGCAAAGCUCAACCUGAAAAUCGGAUAUCCAAGCGGGUGUUCGAAUUGUGGGCUAGAGACGCAUGAUCAGUGUGUGACCUAGGUAUAAAUCUUUUGAAACAAGGUAUCAUAGAGGGUGAGAAUCCCGUCUUUGACCUAGAGUUUCGCCACGUACGAUCUGUGUUCACAGAGUCGAGUUGUUUGGGAUUGCAGCUCUAAUUGGGUGGUAAAUUUCAUCUAAAGCUAAAUAUCGACGAGAGACCGAUAGCGAACAAGUACCGUGAGGGAAAGAUGAAAAGAACUUUGAAAAGAGAGUUAAAAAGUACUUGAAAUUGCUAAGAGGGAAGCACUGGAAACCAGUCGUUGACCUGCGUAGAUUUUUACCAUUCGCUCCCGGACUGUGCUAUGUGUUUGGAGCCCAAAGCCCAGCAUGUGGUAUAGAGAUGGUGUGAGUGGGUCCUGUCUUGUAGGUCGGAUCAGAAUCAAUUUGAUUCGUGAGAGAAAGCUAUGGCAACGGUAGUUCUAUAGGGGGCAACUCUUAUGGAAUGUUUAGUGCUGUAGUGCUAUCAUGGAUUGGAUUGAGGUACAAUCGUUAAUGCGCACCACUAGGUUAUCGGUUCCCUGACCCUGGCAUUGUCGGAGACGUGGACAACAAAGUUGUGCUGUUUCGCGGAUCGUGCUACUGGAAAGGAUGAACUAGACGCUGCAUUCGAGAUUCUGAUGAAAUGGUUUUCAUUGACCCGUCUUGAAACCACG
rnacentral:rRNA from 1 species